AAUGCAAGUCGAGCGGACAGAUGGGAGCUUGCUCCCUGAUGUUAGCGGCGGACGGGUGAGUAACACGUGGGUAACCUGCCUGUAAGACUGGGAUAACUCCGGGAAACCGGGGCUAAUACCGGAUGCUUGUUUGAACCGCAUGGUUCAAACAUAAAAGGUGGCUUCGGCUACCACUUACAGAUGGACCCGCGGCGCAUUAGCUAGUUGGUGAGGUAAUGGCUCACCAAGGCAACGAUGCGUAGCCGACCUGAGAGGGUGAUCGGCCACACUGGGACUGAGACACGGCCCAGACUCCUACGGGAGGCAGCAGUAGGGAAUCUUCCGCAAUGGACGAAAGUCUGACGGAGCAACGCCGCGUGAGUGAUGAAGGUUUUCGGAUCGUAAAGCUCUGUUGUUAGGGAAGAACAAGUACCGUUCGAAUAGGGCGGUACCUUGACGGUACCUAACCAGAAAGCCACGGCUAACUACGUGCCAGCAGCCGCGGUAAUACGUAGGUGGCAAGCGUUGUCCGGAAUUAUUGGGCGUAAAGGGCUCGCAGGCGGUUCCUUAAGUCUGAUGUGAAAGCCCCCGGCUCAACCGGGGAGGGUCAUUGGAAACUGGGGAACUUGAGUGCAGAAGAGGAGAGUGGAAUUCCACGUGUAGCGGUGAAAUGCGUAGAGAUGUGGAGGAACACCAGUGGCGAAGGCGACUCUCUGGUCUGUAACUGACGCUGAGGAGCGAAAGCGUGGGGAGCGAACAGGAUUAGAUACCCCUGGUAGUCCAC
rnacentral:rRNA from 1 species